CGCGGAUCACUCCUACGGGAGGCAGCAGUGGGGAAUAUUGCACAAUGGGGGAAACCCUGAUGCAGCCAUGCCGCGUGUGUGAAGAAGGCCUUCGGGUUGUAAAGCACUUUCAGUAGGGAGGAAGGUAGUGUAGUUAACACCUGCAUUAUUUGACGUUACCUACAGAAGAAGCACCGGCUAACUCCGUGCCAGCAGCCGCGGUAAUACGGAGGGUGCGAGCGUUAAUCGGAAUUACUGGGCGUAAAGCGCAUGCAGGCGGCCUGUUAAGUCAGAUGUGAAAGCCCGGGGCUUAACCUCGGAAUUGCAUUUGAAACUGGCAGGCUAGAGUCUUGUAGAGGGGGUAGAAUUUCAGGUGUAGCGGUGAAAUGCGUAGAGAUCUGAAGGAAUACCAGUGGCGAAGGCGGCCCCCUGGACAAAGACUGACGCUCAGAUGCGAAAGCGUGGGGAGCAAACAGGAUUAGAUACCCUGGUAG
rnacentral:rRNA from 1 species